CACAGCAGAUCACUGCCGAACAAGCAAACGCUGCGAACCCAGAGCACCGGCCGUCGCCAUCCAACGAUCUAAAAUAUUCCGACGAGUCAACAGUCCCAAAUCGUGACGCCUUUCAAGUUUUCCGAUACAAGAGGACUACAACUCACCGCUCCCCACAUCUCUUCGAUUGGUCGCAACAGCACAAAAUAAUUGAGAAAUAAAAAUAAAACAACAGCAAGUGGAAGAGAAAGGGGUGAUAGUCUAUGGUAACAGCGGGAGAGAUCUUAUUGUGGUGCGUUUCCCCUACUCCUCUCUCGCGGCAACGGCAAUCUCGUUUCCGACGGAGAUAAUUUCUUCUCUACCUCUCUCCGUCUUCUUUCUCUUCAUUCUUAUUUCCGCCUUCUCUCUAGAUCCAGAUCUGAGAUUCCGAGGCUUCUUGGGGUAGUUAGGGUUUCCGGAGAUCAGGUGGUUUAAGGAGGCGGCGAAAGGGAGGAAGGAAGGAGGGGGGAGAUGCUGACCAAGUUCGAGACGAAGAGCAAUCGGGUGAAGGGGCUGAGUUUCCACAGCAAGCGGCCAUGGAUCCUCGCCAGCCUACACAGCGGCGUCAUCCAGCUAUGGGACUACCGGAUGGGCACCCUCAUCGACCGAUUCGACGAGCACGACGGCCCUGUGCGCGGUGUUCAUUUUCAUAAAUCUCAGCCGCUCUUCGUCUCCGGAGGAGAUGAUUACAAGAUCAAGGUCUGGAAUUACAAGACCCAUCGGUGCCUAUUUACCCUUCUUGGGCAUCUCGAUUACAUUCGGACAGUCCAAUUUCAUGAUGAGUAUCCAUGGAUUGUCAGUGCAAGCGAUGAUCAAACAAUUAGAAUCUGGAACUGGCAGUCUCGCACCUGCAUUUCAGUGUUAACAGGGCACAACCACUAUGUCAUGUGUGCCUCGUUCCAUCCAAAGGAGGACCUGGUUGUAUCAGCUUCCCUGGAUCAGACGGUCCGGGUUUGGGAUAUUGGUGCGCUGAGGAAGAAGACGGUCUCUCCAGCUGAUGACAUCUUGCGCCUAAGCCAGAUGAACACCGAUCUGUUUGGUGGAGUUGAUGCUGUUGUCAAGUAUGUCUUGGAAGGUCAUGAUCGUGGAGUCAACUGGGCCUCAUUUCAUCCAAGCUUGCCUCUUAUUGUGUCUGGAGCAGAUGAUCGGCAGCUGAAGCUAUGGCGAAUGAAUGAUACGAAGGCUUGGGAAGUGGACACAUUGAGAGGGCACAUGAAUAAUGUCUCUUGUGUAAUGUUCCAUGCAAAGCAGGAUAUUAUUGUGUCAAACUCAGAGGACAAAAGCAUCCGCAUUUGGGAUGCUACAAAACGCACUGGUAUUCAGACAUUUCGCCGUGAGCAUGACCGUUUCUGGAUUCUUGCUGCACAUCCAGAAAUGAACCUUCUGGCAGCUGGUCAUGACAGUGGUUUGAUUGUUUUUAAAUUGGAGAGAGAGCGCCCUGCUUUCUCUGUGAGUGGAGAUACUCUCUACUAUGUCAAAGAUCGGUUUUUGCGGUUCUAUGAGUUUUCAGCCCACAAGGAUAAUCAAGUGGUUCCAAUUAGAAGGCCUGGUUCUGUUAGCUUGAAUCAGGGGCCCAGAACACUGUCUUACGGCCCCACAGAGAAUGCUGUUUUGCUCUGCUCUGAUGUGGAUGGGGGUUCAUAUGAACUCUAUAUUGUUCCCAAGGAUUCUGCCGGAAGGGGUGAUUGUGUGCUGGAAGCAAGGAAGGGAUCUGGGGCCUCAGCUGUUUUCAUAGCUCGCAACAGGUUUGCAGUUCUCGACAAGAGUAACAAUCAAGCAUUGGUGAAGAACCUUAAGAAUGAGAUUGUUAAAAAGAGUUCUCUUCCUGUUGCUACUGAUGCAAUAUUUUAUGCCGGGACAGGCAACCUAUUGUGUAGGGCCGAGGAUAGGGUGGUCAUCUUUGAUCUCCAACAGAGGCUGGUUCUUGGGGAACUUCAGACCCCAUCUGUCAAAUAUGUUGUUUGGUCAAGUGACAUGGAGUCUGUUGCCUUGUUGAGCAAACAUGCUAUAGUCAUUGCUAGCAAGAAACUUACACACCGCUGCAUGCUUCAUGAGACCAUCCGUGUGAAAAGUGGUGCCUGGGAUGAGAAUGGCGUCUUUAUUUAUACAACCUUAAACCAUAUUAAGUACUGCCUUCCUAAUGGGGACAGUGGAAUCGUGAGAACCAUCGAUGUUCCUAUUUACAUAACCAAUGUUUCUGGUAGCAGUAUCUACUGCUUGGAUCGUGAUGGGAAGAAUCGGGUUAUAUCAAUUGAUGCUACAGAAUACAUUUUCAAGCUUGCCCUUUUGCGAAAAAGAUACGACCAUGUGAUGAGCAUGAUAAGGCAUUCACAGCUAUGUGGACAGGCAGUGAUCGCGUAUCUGCAACAGAAAGGUUUCCCGGAAGUAGCUCUCCAUUUUGUCAAAGAUGAGAGAACCCGAUUCAACCUGGCUCUUGAAAGUGGUAACAUUCAGAUUGCCGUUGCUUCAGCAAAGGAGAUAGAUGAGAAAGAUUACUGGUACAGGUUGGGCAUUGAGGCUCUCCGACAGGGAAACACCAGUAUUAUGGAAUAUGCAUACCAGAAGACUAAAAACUUUGAGAGGCUAUCUUUUCUCUAUCUUGUAACAGGGAACAUGGAAAAACUGUCCAAAAUGUUGAGGAUAGCUGAGAUUAAAAAUGAUGUGAUGGGCCAGUUCCACAAUGCCAUGUAUCUAGGUGACGUUCAGGAACGUGUCACGAUCUUGGAGAGAACUGGCCAUUUGCCUCUUGCAUAUGUCACGGCUGCCACUCAUGGGCUUGCUGAAGUUGCUGACAGGCUUGCAGCUGAAUUGGGAGAUAAUGUUCCCUCUGUACCUGAAGGAAAAGUCAGUUCUCUUCUGAUGCCACCUCAGCCACUCAUGUGCAGUGGCGAUUGGCCAUUAUUAAGGGUUAUGCGAGGUAUCUUUGAAGGUGAGUUGGAGAAUCUUGGGAGGGCAGGACAUGAGGAAGAAGAAGCUACUGGUGCUGACUGGGGUGAUGAGGAUUUGGAUAUUGUUGAUGUUGAAGGCUUGAUUCCGAAUGGUGAUAUAGUAGCAGAGGUUGAGGAUGGUGAAGCACAUGAAGAGAAUGAUGAGGAAGGAGGGUGGGACCUCGAAGAAUUGGAAUUACCACCAGAUAUGGAAACACCAAAAGCUAGCACCAAUGCUCGUUCACCUUUGUUUGUUGCUCCUACACCAGGCAUGCCAGUAAGCCAGAUUUGGGUUCAGAAAUCCUCUCUGGCAGGGGACCAUGUGGCAGCUGGGAAUUUCGACACUGCCAUGCGCCUGCUUAGCAGACAACUGGGCAUAAAGAACUUUGCUCCCUUAAAGCCAUCGUUUGUGGAUCUUUAUGAAGGUAGCCACACAUAUCUUCGUGCUUUUCCUACAGCACCAGUGAUAUUAAUUGCUGUUGAGAAGGGUUGGACUGAGUCUGCCAGUCCUAAUGUUAGGGGCCCACCAGAACUUGUUUUUAAGUUUUCACAGAUGGAUGAGAAGCUUAAGGCUGCUUACCGAGUCACAACAGAGGGAAAAUUUCCAGAGGCUUUGCGGCAAUUUCUCGGUAUCCUGCACACUAUCCCACUUUUGGUGGUGGACUCGAGGAGGGAAGUUGAUGAAGUGAAGGAGCUUAUUGAGAUAGUGAGAGAGUAUGUCCUGGGCUUGAAGAUGGAAGUCCAAAGAAAGGAAAUCAAGGACGAUGCAAUUCGUCAGCAGGAGUUGGCAGCCUACUUCACCAACUGUAAGCUUCAAAAGAUUCACAUGAGACUGGUGCUUGCAAGCGCAAUGAGUAGCUGCUAUAGGGGAGGGAACUUUGCUACAGCAGCCAAUUUUGCUAGGAUGCUUUUGGAGAACAGUCCUACUGAAGCCCAAUCAAAGAAGGCUAGGCAGGUGUUGCAGGCUUGCAGCGAUAAAAAGGAUACCAACCAGCUGAAUUAUGAUUACAGGAAUCCAUUUGUAGUUUGUGGGGCUACUUUUGUUCCAAUCUACCGUGGGCAGAAGGAUAUUUGCUGCCCGUAUUGUGGGGCUCGCUUUGUGCCAGCUACGGAGGGGCAGAUUUGUGCUGUUUGUGAGCUGGCAGUGGUGGGUGCAGAUGCGUCGGGUCUACUCUGUUCUCCCAUGCAGACAAGAUAAAAAGACAUGCCGUUGGUUUAUGAAGAAAGCUAUCUGUGGCUGAAAUUGGCAGCUCAUGGCCGGCCUUCUAAAAUCCAAUCUUUCUCCUUGGUUUCCUGUGUCUGUUGCUUUAGUGGUUGAAGUUAUGCACCGUCCGCAGCAGCGUACCGUUGGAUAAAUCUAUUCCAAUUUAAUGGCUUCUUCAGCUGUGGUUGCCUGUCAAAAUUGAUAUGAAUGGUUACCAUCGGUCCCAUGUUUUCCAUUUAUCAAGAUCAGCCGGCAGAUGGACUUGCAUUGAGUUCUAUUAUCAUUCCUGAUUCUGAUUCGUGUUGGUGGUGGGCUGGCCGGAGAACUACUUUUUGCUAAUCAUGGACAAUUGUACACUUCCUCAAGGGGGAUAUCUGGACUUUAGAUUCUAUGCUGUGCAACCUACAUGCCUGGGAGCUCAAAUUGAUCAUCAGUUCCGGAACAGAGAGCCAACCGAGAGAGAGGUGCCGAAUGUGCUUUCAGAUGCAUGCUGACGGCCUGGGAUGAACCUGUGGGAUCACUGUACACACAUCUCCAUGCGGUCUCUUCACCGGCUCGCAGGGCAAACCUGCACCUUGGUCUCGUGGACUCCUGAUCAUGUGCGCACGAGGCCCUCUGCACAUGCUUCGCUUCAAGUCUGCUGCUGCCGACACCCCCAUCUGCCACUGAAAUCGUCAGAACGGCUCCCUUGCAUCGAUAAGGGAGUGAAGAACUAAUUAGAGCUGAUCUUUAAUUCUCAGUACAGCAUAUAUUCCUGUUUGGAAGGCGAGCAAAACGUGUGACAAUGGCAGCCAUAGUUUUGCAACACAUUGCCCUCAGACCAGCUGAAGUACAAAAAUACUUUUUUUUUUUAAUAAAAAAGAUGA